UACGGAAGGCAGCAGUGGGGAAUAUUGGACAAUGGGCGAAAGCCUGAUCCAGCCAUGCCGCAUGAGUGAAGAAGGCCUUUGGGUUGUAAAGCUCUUUUAGUGAGAAAGAUAAUGACGGUACUCACAGAAGAAGUCCUGGCUAACUCCGUGCCAGCAGCCGCGGUAAUACGGAGAGGGCUAGCGUUAUUCGGAAUUAUUGGGCGUAAAGAGCGCGUAGGCUGAUUAGUAAGUUAAAAGUGAAAUCCCAAAGCUUAACUUUGGAAUUGCUUUUUAAAACUGCUAGUCUAGAGAUUUGAAAGAGGAUAGAGGAAUUCCUAGUGUAGAGGUGAAAUUCGUAAAUAUUAGGAGGAACACCAGUGGCGAAGGCGUCUAUCUGGUUCAAAUCUGACGCUGAGGCGCGAAGGGCGUGGGGAGCAAACAGGGAUUAGAUACC
rnacentral:rRNA from 1 species